rnacentral:misc_RNA from 1 species
UACGGAGGAUGCGAGCGUUAUCCGGAAUUAUUGGGCGUAAAGAGCUCGUAGGCGGUUCUUUAAGUCGGAUGUGAAAUCUCCGGGCUUAACCCUGAAACCGCACCCGAUACUGGAGAACUUGAGGCAGGUAGGGGAGAUCGGAAUUCCUGGUGUAGCGGUGAAAUGCGCAGAUAUCAGGAGGAACACCGGUGGCGAAGGCGGAUCUCUGGCCCUGUACUGACGCUGAGGAGCGAAAGCGUGGGGAGCAAACAGG